GAUGAACGCUGGCGGCGUGCUUAACACAUGCAAGUCGAACGGUAAGGCCCUUCGGGGUACACGAGUGGCGAACGGGUGAGUAACACGUGGGUGAUCUGCCCUGCACUUCGGGAUAAGCCUGGGAAACUGGGUCUAAUACCGGAUAGGACCACUGCCUGCAUGGGUGGUGGUGGAAAGCUUUUGCGGUGUGGGAUGGGCCCGCGGCCUAUCAGCUUGUUGGUGGGGUGGUGGCCUACCAAGGCGACGACGGGUAGCCGGCCUGAGAGGGUGACCGGCUACACUGGGACUGAGAUACGGCCCAGACUCCUACGGGAGGCAGCAGUGGGGAAUAUUGCACAAUGGGCGCAAGCCUGAUGCAGCGACGCCGCGUGAGGGAUGACGGCCUUCGGGUUGUAAACCUCUUUCAGCACCGACGAAGCGCAAGUGACGGUAGGUGCAGAAGAAGGACCGGCCAACUACGUGCCAGCAGCCGCCGUAA
rnacentral:rRNA from 1 species